UACGUAGGUCCCGAGCGUUGUCCGGAUUUAUCGGGCGUAAAGCGAGCGCAGGUGGUUUAUUAAGUCUGGUGUAAAAGGCAGUGGCUCAACCAUUGUAUGCAUUGGAAACUGGUAGACUUGAGUGCAGGAGAGGAGAGUGGAAUUCCAUGUGUAGCGGUGAAAUGCGUAGAUAUAUGGAGAAACACCGGUGGCGAAAGCGGCUCUCUGGCCUGUAACUGACACUGAGGCUCGAAAGCGUGGGGAGCAAACAGG
rnacentral:rRNA from 1 species